CACUGAAUGAAGCACCAGUGAACGUCGGCGAUAACUAUAAUCGUCCAAAGGUAGCGUAAUCCCUUGCCGGGUAAGUUCCGGCCCGCAUGAAUGGCUUAACGAGUUGAAAACUGUCUCAACGAGGCGCCCGGUGAAAAUGCAAUACCAGUGAAGAUGCUGGUUACCUGCGGCUAGACGGAAAGACCCCGGAAGCUUUACUGUAGUUAGAUAUUGGGUUAUCGUUUUUAAUGCGUAGCGUAGUGGUGAGCCUUUGAAGCGGCAUUUUCGGAUGCCGUGGAGGCGCCGAUGAAACAGCCAUCUUUGAAAAUGAUAAUUCUAAUUCCACUUAAGGUGGAUGACAGUGUUUAAUGGGCAGUUUAAAUGGGGCAUUUGCCUCCUAAAAAGUAAUGGAGGCGUUUAAAGGUUGGCUAGCUCCGGAUGGAAAUCGGAGCGAUAGGGCAAACCCAUAAGCCAGCUUUACUGCAAGACGGCUAUGUCGCGCAGUUGCGAAAGCAGAAGUUAGUGAACCGACGUGUAUUUCAUAGAAAACACGAAGAUCAUCAGCCAAAAGCUACUCCGGGGAUAACAGGCUAGUAGAGCCCGAGCGUCCAUAGCGACGGCUCUGUUCGGCACCUCGAUGUCGGCUCAAGACAUCCUGGGGGUGGAGAAGCUCCCAAGGGUUCGGCUGUUCGCCGAUUAAAGUCUUACGUGAGCUGGGUUCAAACCGUCGUGAGACAGGUUGGUCCCUAUCUACCGCAGGCGUGGAGUUUUGAGGAGAUUUGUUCCUAGUACGAGAGGACCGGAAUGAACCAACCUCUGGUGUACCAGUUGUUCCGCCAGGAGCAUUGCUGGGUAGCUAAGUUGGGAACGGAUAAGCGCUGAAAGCAUAUAAGCGCGAAACCGACUCCAAGAUGAGAACUCUUAGAUUCCCCGAAGAUUACGGGGUUGAUAGGCCAUAGGUAUAAGUACUGUAAAGUAUUCAGCCGAGUGGUACUAAUAAAUC
rnacentral:rRNA from 1 species